GUGCUUGCUUUGGCAACACAUAUACUAAAAUUGGAAUGAUACAGAGAAUAUUAGCAUGGCCCCUGUGUAGGGAUGACAUGGAAACUUGUGAAGCAUUCCAUGAAAAA
ensembl:snRNA U6 U6 spliceosomal RNA